rnacentral:lncRNA from 10 species
GUAAAAAGUCCUUUUGCUUUUCCUUCAUCUUCCGCCAUGAUUGUGAGGCCUCCCUAGUCAUGUGGAACUGUCACUAUCGGCCAAACGCAACCAGAGCACACCCACCCAUGGGAGCCUGUUGGUGGAGCCCAUGCAGUUUCGCAUCUGCACAAGGCUGGCCUCCUGCAGGCAACCCUUCAAGGCUGCCCUUUCCUGGGUCAUCGUAUGUUCAGCGUGAGAGAUGCCAUUCCAAAGGUUCAGAGCCGUGUGGCCUGUGGACUUGGGGGUGGGGGACACACCCCCUCCUUCCCUCAACCUCCCUCCCACCGCCUGCUGCCAAGGGCCGCCAAGAGAAAUGUGGGCAAACCACACGGACCACCCCAGGCCUCCCAAGGGCACUUGGGGGUGAUGCCAGCCCCAGGAAGGAGUCCUCAAUAAAGAUCCAAGGUGCUAACAAGAAGAUGUCAAUCCAUUAACUCCACUUGAAGGGAAGAAAAAAAAUGUCAAUUACUGGUAAUGUGAAACAAAAGAGUGGGAAAUCGCAAAUGACAGUCUUUUUAAGACGGCCCUAGGGCCACUUCCAGCUGACCCUGUGCAUUAACCAAGCAGGGAGAUUUUUUUCCUUGGCUGCUCCCUCCUGCGUCCCUAAUAGCAUAAAAUAAAAAGAUUUUAGAUAAGAUUUCAUUCUGUGAAUCAAUUGGCAAACCACACUGGGCUUCACGGGGCAUUCUGGUCUCAAUCUAAUGGAAAUUAUUAUUUUUUAAAACGGGAAUAUCAAUACUAAAUUGGAUCCUAUAGCAGACAGCAUAUACAAAGGUUUUAUAUCAGCUGGCUUCUCUGGCUUCCACGGAGCUUUGCUUAACCCAGUACCUGCCAGCAUCCCAGGGAAAGGAUGAGAGAAUGCGGUGGGAGAAAAAUAUCCCAAAUCCUUGUUGUGACAGAAUA